rnacentral:rRNA from 1 species
GACGAACGCUGGCGGCGUGCUUAACACAUGCAAGUCGAACGGAAAGGCCCUGCUUUUGUGGGGUGCUCGAGUGGCGAACGGGUGAGUAACACGUGAGUAACCUGCCCUUGACUUUGGGAUAACUUCAGGAAACUGGGGCUAAUACCGUAUAGGAGCUCCUGCUGCAUGGUGGGGGUUGGAACGUUUCGGCUGUUGGGGAUGGACUCGCGGCUUAUCAGCUUGUUGGUGGGGUAGUGGCUUACCAAGGCUUUGACGGGUAGUCGGCCUGAGAGGGUGACCGGCCACAAUGGGACUGAGAGACGGCCCAGACGCCUACGGGAGGCAGCAGUGGGGAAUAUGGCACAAUGGGCGGAAGCCUGAUGCAGCAACGCCGCGUGCGGGAUGACGGCCUUCGGGUUGUAAACCGCUUUCGCCUGUGACGAAGCGGGAGUGACGGUAAUGGGUAAAGAAGCACCGGCUAACUACGUG